CAGUAGCCGCGGGAAUACGUAGGUGACAAGCGUUGUCCGGAAUUAUUGGGCGUAAAGGGAGCGCAGGCGGUUGGAAUAGUCUGAUGUGAAAGCCCACGGCUUAACCGUGGAAUUGCAUUGGAAACUGUCCAACUUGAAUGCAGAAGAGGAAAGCGGAAUUCCAUGUGUAGCGGUGAAAUGCGUAGAUAUAUGGAGGAACACCAGUGGCGAAGGCGACUCUCUGGUCUGUAACUGACGCUGAGGCUCGAAAGCGUGGGUAGCAAACAGGAUUAGAUACCCCCGUAGUCCCUGUCUCUUAUAC
rnacentral:rRNA from 1 species